rnacentral:rRNA from 1 species
UUUCCUCGGGGCGCAGCAGUAGGGGAUCUUCCACAAUGGACGAAAGUCUGAUGGAGCAACGCCGCGUGAGUGAAGAAGGGUUUCGGCUCGUAAAGCUCUGUUGGUAGUGAAGAAAGAUAGGGGUAGUAACUGGCCUUUUUUUGACGGUAAUUACUUAGAAAGUCACGGCUAACUACGUGCCAGCAGCCGCGGUAAUACGUAGGUGGCAAGCGUUGUCCGGAUUUAUUGGGCGUAAA